rnacentral:misc_RNA from 1 species
GACGUAGGGCGCGAGCGUUGUCCGGAUUUAUUGGGCGUAAAGAGCUCGUAGGCGGCUUGUCGCGUCAAUCGUGAAAUCCUGCAGCUUAACUGUGGGCGUGCGGUUGAUACGGGCAGGCUAGAGUUCGGUAGGGGAGACUGGAAUUCCUGGUGUAGCGGUGAAAUGCGCAGAUAUCAGGAGGAACACCGGUGGCGAAGGCGGGUCUCUGGGCCGAUACUGACACUGAGGUGCGAAAGUGUGGGGAGCAAACAGG